AACGAACGCUGGCGGCAUGCCUAACACAUGCAAGUCGAACGAGACCUUCGGGUCUAGUGGCGCACGGGUGCGUAACGCGUGGGAAUCUGCCCUUAGGUUCGGAAUAACUCCCCGAAAGGGGUGCUAAUACCGGAUAAUGUCUUCGGACCAAAGAUUUAUCGCCUUUGGAUGGGCCCGCGUUGGAUUGGCUAGUUGGUAGGGUAAAAGCCUACCAAGGCGACGAUACAUAGCUGGUCUGAGAGGAUGAUCAGCCACACUGGCACUGAGACACGGCCCAGACUCCUACGGGAGGCAGCAGUGGGUAAUAUUGGACAACGGGCGGAAGCCUGAUCCACCAAUGCCGCGUGAGUGAUGAAGGCCUUAGGGUUGUAAAGCUCUUUUACCCGGGAUGAUAAUGACAGUACCGGGAGAAUAAGCACCGGCUAACUCCGUG
rnacentral:rRNA from 1 species